AAAACACUAACGUAUGUUGAAGUUAAAUUAGACACACAGAUAACACUCUAGGUUAUGAUUGUGUAUGCGUUUGUACAAACAAUUUACUAUGCAGUUAUAGAUUUUAAGUAAUUAAAUAUGUCGCUUCUAUAUUCAGUCUGGCACGCAGGAAAAUGCGAAAUUUGAGUUUACAACAAUGUCAUUGUCACAGAACCAAACACAUCCACCACAUGGUGAAACUGUUCACCAAAUGGUGAAGAGGUCAAUGUGAUAGAUUUUCACCGCAUUGUGUUAUCAAAUGCAUAUAUCCAAGUAAGCUUACUUUCAGGUUUAAAUUGUGGCGUUGUUCGGACAGAACUUAAAUACUACAAAUAUGGAGAGAUAUUUUAUACGAUACGUGCUUUAACAUGGAGAUAUUCAUUGAAAUCCCAGCUAUUAGAUAGCAGACAUUAUGGCUAGAUAUACGACAUUUGUGUAGUUCGAGGACAUUCACACAUUGGGCGCCGGAGUAGACGGAUCGGUUUGGUUAACAAACCGUGCCAGACAGGUUGCGGAAAGGAGUACAAAUACAUUAUCAGAUUCGUUAAUCUUUCUUCUCGUGAACGGAUUAUCGCAGACACAACACGUGUCGUGGUAGCGCCUGCAAAAGAUAAAUACUAGAAAUGGAGUCAAUCCUCAUUGGAUCCGACCAGGUGGGCGCGAACGGCGAUAGUUUUGACGUAAGAAAAUGUGACAUACAUACGUCUUCUAAUUUCGAGGCGUUCUGUACAGACCAUCAGCAGAUGUGUUGCAUCCGUUGCAUCAUGGAUACUCACAGUUGUCUCCUGCCGGAUUUGACGUACAUUGGUCCGAAGAAGUCCACACCGACGUACGUAAACGGUGGUUUGUCCGGCUCCAGUCUUUCAGCUGGAAGUUGACCCAUUUGUUGUGAUUCAGGACGUUGUAUCUGUCUCUUACAAAUCAUGCAUUUGUUUAAAACAGACUUAAUCGUCUUAAGACCUGGCAAUACUCAAUACCUUUGUCGCACCAACGACAAAAUAUGAUGAGCACCCAUGUGAGCGUUUGUUUCAUGGUAUGCCUUGAUAAGGAUCCGUGUUACCUGGCAAAAUUAUUUGAUGCUUAGUAUCACUGCGCAAGUCAGCGUUAUCAAGACGACCGCCCACUUUUAGCAAAUUAAUGAACAGCGUGCACAUUUAAUGGUAGUCUUUCCAUGCUUUAAAAGAAAAAUAUACUGAUUUUUUCAAAACCAACCCCACACUCUUUUGUCCAGUUUAUGUGCACCCCUGGGCAGUAUGAAAGUUCUAUAAUUCAUCCAGAUUUCCAAAUAUAGGCAUGCAGUUGGUGUGUGCAGAUGCAGUAAAGAUGUUUAAAGUUUAAACAAGAUGAAAAAAAAUUCUUUUACAGACAUUUAUUUUUUAUAACUUGUUAUCUACGGAAGAGCGCCAUGAAAUGUAAGUGGUUUCAGGCAAGUAGAAAUUGGGUUGGUUAAAAACAAAGUGUCAUUCAAUUCAAAAUAGUAUCAUUUAAGUAAUAUUUUGAACUUAGUUUUUAUAGAUACACUAUAUACAGCAAAAAUACCAAGAAACAGACAGAUUUACCGUUUACUUUUUGAAAUAAAAAUAAAAAUGCAACAUGCAUGGUUCGUAUUUUCAGAAGUAAAUCACCCAAUUUAACCAUAACGUUGUUUUAAUUUUAAAAAUUGAAGAAUGUGCAUAAAAAUUGCAACAUAUUUAACAAUAAACAUAGCUUAUAUGCCAUAUAAAAUCAAAGUACGUUAGAAAGAAAUAAAACGCGUCGCAAAAAGUAUACGUCGUCGGCAGGAUUUGAACCUGUGCGGGAAUAUCCCAAAAGAUUUCUAGUCUAUCGCCUUAACCACUAGGUUACGGCACCUAAUAUUAGGCUCUUCAACCUUGGAAGAAAUCGCGGGAAAUCAUCAGGGGUGCGCUGCCUUAAGUCGUUAGUUUUCAAUAUUUUCGUGGGUUAUAUAACUUCAACUCACAAUAAAGCUGUGUUAAUAUUGUUUUAUUGACACUUCGCGUGAUGUGAAAUUACUUUUUUUUUAAAUAUCACUGUAAUUAUAUUGUCAUUCUGAAUUCUACUUCGAAUAAAACCAAUUUAGAUACAUUGCCAAUUACGGUUGUAUUUAACAUAUAUAAAACCAUUACAUUUUAUGAACAAGGCAAUUUUGCAUUUGACGAUAAAUUUUACGAUGUUUUUUAUUUGGAUAAAUAUGACAGCCUGAUUCGGGUAUUUGCCAUCGAAAGUGUUACGCACAUGGGAACUCAUGAAAAUAUAAAAUUAUGUUGAUUAAUAGAUUUUUUGUUUGUUGAUUUAAUACAUAAUAAUAUGGUUUAUAUAUAUAACAACUAUGAUGAUGUUGUUUUUGUUGGUCAUAAUGAUGAUUAGUACUAUGAUGUCGACGCAGUUUACAUUGGUGAAAAUAUUGGUGUUAAGUCAAAUAUAAACAAACAUGUAUUUUAGUGUAUUGUGUAUUUAAAUUAAGUGUUGCAAUUAUAACAAUUCAUUUAUCACUAAAUUUACCAAAUAUAUAGUUGUUUGAUCCGUUGUUUGUUUUUAUAAAAUAAUCAAUCACAAGUAAUUUGACAUGGAUGACAGUGACUAUGAAGGUAUUCCGUCCUCGUGCCCUGUUCAAUAUUCGCCCAAUUCACCAAAUCGGACGCACUUUGUUAACUAGCUGUCAUUAUUCAGUGACCUCUCAAUAUUAGAGUAAUAUGAAAAUAUAAAUAUAAGAUAACUGUGUCGUGCGGGGAGUACGCUAAAGUCAAGUUUGAUUUAAAACACGGCAUACAGCCUCUGCCUAAGAGUUAUAUUUGAAACACCAACUUUUGUUAAGAAGUACA